AGGAAUGUAUAGCGAUAGCUAGUUGCAUCAUUGUAAAUAUGAUGCAAAAUUGACUAUGUUGAAUAAAAUUCUAGGUAGAGUUAUGAUAAUGACAUUUUCUGCCUAUGUGUCUUGACCAAAUUACGUGCCAGCAGUCGCGGUAAUACGUAGAAGACUAGUGUUAUUCAUGUUUUCGGUUUAAAGGGUACCUAGACGGCAGAUCAAGCUUUCCGAGAAGAAAAAAAUAAUUAAGAAAAAAAUAAUUAAGAAAAAGGACUAAUUUGCUAGAGUUACUUACGAGGGGGUUUUAAAGUACUGCUGGUGUAGAGAUGAAAUUCUGUCAUACCUCUUUUCGAAAGAAAAAUAAUGGCACAGGUAUAGGCGAAGGCAUCCCCUUAUGUGAUAACUGACGUUGAGGGACGAAGGCUUUAUAUAACGAACAGGAUUAGAUACCCUAGUAGUGGAGCAGUAAAUGAUGAAUGUCAUAGAUUAGAUUAGUUUAUUCUAUAAAUGAAAGUGUAAGCAUUCCACCUCAUGAGUAAUUUGGCAACAUUGGAAUUGAAAUCAUUAGACCGUUUCUGAAACCAGUAGUGAAGUAUGUUGUUUAAUUUGAUAACCCGCAAAAAACCUUACCACAAUUUGAAUAUUUAUAUUAUAUUUAUUGUUUUUUUUAUUAAUUUUAUUUAAGCAUUCAAGAUUAAGGGAGAAAAUUAAUAAAGAGGCAAUAAAAUAUAUUUACAAGCGUUGCACGGCUGUCUUCAGUUAAUGUCGCGAGAUUUUGGUUAGAUCCAUUAAAUUAACGUAAACCCUCACUUUAUUUUU
rnacentral:rRNA from 1 species